UGGCGGUGCUUUAGACCUCUCAGGGGAACCUGUCUCGUAAUCGACAGUCCACGAAAUACCUAACCUUCUUUAGUUUAUCAGUAUGUAUACCGUCGUCGUCAGGCAACUUUUAAAAAAAAAGAAGUUGGCAGCUAAAAUUUAAUUUUAGACGUCAGAUCAAGGUGCAGCUCAUAAGAUAGGUGAGGAUGGGUUACAAUUAGAUUUAUAUAAACGGAAAAAAAUUUGAAAUUCUUAGUUUUUAGAAGAUGGACUUGAAAGUAAAGAUUAAUAUAUAAAUUUCUUGAAUUAGGCUCUGAAGCGUGC
rnacentral:rRNA from 1 species